UUAAAUAAUACAAUAGUACUACAACUGAAUGAUUGGGGUUACGUAGACUGGGAACGCAAGCAGCGUUUAUUGUUGUGGAUGUCGCGCAAAGAGCAAGCGCAAAGAGACGACCAACGCGGUUGCUGGGUUCUAAACGCUCUCGGGCUCUCCGCAUUGCAUGGCGGCGGCACAGUACAUUGCAGAUGAUGUAUGUAGUGGUGACACCACUAGAACAACUCAGCGGCGGCGCUGACUCGUUGACAUAUAGCUGGCUGGCUGGCUGGCUGGCUGGUUGCUUCCGCUUCUAGACAAACGCAACGUUCUAGUUGGGACGAGCCGCUCUGGCAAUCUGGUUGAAAAUUCUUAAUAGUACGUGUGCUACGAAUAUUGUGCGUUCGCAAGAAGACCGACCGCGCGCCCGCCCGCUGGACUUUUCUUCCACACGCCUACAAGCAGCAGUUUAGCCGUCAACUGUGAAAACAAAGCUGAACCAGCAGCAGCAGUUUGUUGGAACAAACAGAUACGUUAUUAAGGUGAAUCUAAGGAGCCGCGGAAGGGCGGAAAACACUUGCAUACGUACAUAUACAUACAUGUAUGUAUGUAUGUAUGUAUGCAGCUUUGGGAAAUAGCACAAAAAUUGUGCGCACCACCAGUGCGGUCAUAUUGGAAAAUUACUGUGGUAUAUUUCUGACUUCGCUGCAUAUUGAAAGUGCAUUGGUUGUACUAACUAGAAGUGCAAAUCCAUUGUGCAGUCAAUUACCCGACAAAACGACAUAACACACCAACAACAACAACAGCAACAAUAACUGCAAGUGCGGCAGCACUAACAGAAAACGAUAACGAAGCAAAAGUGCGAUAGUGAAGUAAA